rnacentral:lncRNA from 1 species
UGCCCUAAAGCUGGGACCUCCCUUGAGACUCAGAUGGAAGGACCCAGCCAGGGGGCUACAGGCUUCCCCCUUCUGUCUAUGUUUCCCUGCCGUCUGUGUUGGCCAGGUUGCUUUCAAGAACAAGAGGAAAGGAUGAAACAGAGAACCAUAUCAUUAAAAACAAAGAGGAGCUAAUCAUAUGACAAAAAGAUGGAAUGGCAGCUAAAAGAUGGGUUCAGUUGUCUGUCACAAGAUUUUGGAAUUGUUUGUCCAAUAAAUUGUGAAGAUUGGAUUUGUCUCUCCCCUGA